rnacentral:rRNA from 1 species
CCUACGGGAGGCAGCAGUAGGGAAUCUUCCACAAUGGGCGAAAGCCUGAUGGAGCAACGCCGCGUGGGUGAAGAAGGUCUUCGGAUCGUAAAACCCUGUUGUUAGAGAAGAAAGUGCGUGAGAGUAACUGUUCACGUUUCGACGGUAUCUAACCAGAAAGCCACGGCUAACUACGUGCCAGCAGCCGCGGUAAUACGUAGGUGGCAAGCGUUAUCCGGAUUUAUUUGGCGUAAAGGGAACGCAGGCGGUCUUUUAAGUCUGAUGUGAAAGCCUUCGGCUUAACCGGAGUAGUGCAUUGGAAACUGGGAGACUUGAGUGCAGAAGAGGAGAGUGGAAGUCCAUGUGUAGCGGUGAAAUGCGUAGAUAUAUGGAAGAACACCAGUGGCGAAAGCGGCUCUCUGGUCUGUAACUGACGCUGAGGUUCGAAAGCGUGGGUAGCAAACAGGAUUAGAUACCCUGGUAGUC